GACGAACGCUGGCGGCGUGCUUAACACAUGCAAGUCGAACGGAAAGGCCCUGCUUUUGUGGGGUGCUCGAGUUGCGAACGGGUGAGUAACACGUGAGUAACCUGCACUUGACUUUGGGAUAACUUCAGGAAACUGGGGCUAAUACCGGAUAGGAGCUCCUGCUGCAUGGUGGGGGUUGGAAAGUUUCGGCGGUUGGGGAUGGACUCGCGGCGUAUCAGCUUGUUGGUUGGGUAGUGGCUUACCAAGGCUUUGACGGGUAGCCGGCCUGAGCGGGUGACCGGCCAAACUGGGACUGAGAUACGGCCCAGACUCGUACGGGAGGCAGCGGUGGGGAAUAUUGCACAAUGGGCGGAAGCCUGAUGCAGCAACGCCGCGUGCGGGAUGACGGCCUUCGGGUAGUAAACCGCUUCCGCCUGUGACGAAGCGUGAGUGACGGUAAUGGGUAAAGAAGCACCGGCUAACUACGUG
rnacentral:rRNA from 1 species